GCAGCUGUGGCGGGUCAGGCAGAUGUCACCAAUAUACGUCCAAUUGCCAGUCUGGGUGCAGACAAUAUUACCACGGGCUGAACUGCACCGAAGAAUGUAGCGGCAACUGCGGCGGAAGUGGUCGCUGUAAUGACCGGACUGGUAAAUGUAACGAAGGCUGCCUGGGAUUCUUUAUUGGUGACACUUGCAACGAACGUCUGUAUAUAUGCAGUGACGUCUGUGCGGGAAAUGGUACAUGCGACGCUAAUACAAAGACGUGCUUGUCAGGAUGUAAGCCUGGG
rnacentral:sRNA from 1 species